rnacentral:rRNA from 1 species
UACGAAGGGGGCUAGCGUUGUUCGGAAUUACUGGGCGUAAAGCGCGUGUAGGCGGGUCUUUAAGUCAGGGGUGAAAUGCCAAGGCUCAACCUUGGAACUGCCUUUGAUACUGGAGAUCUUGAGUCCGGGAGAGGUGAGUGGAAUUGCGAGUGUAGAGGUGAAAUUCGUAGAUAUUCGCAAGAACACCAGUGGCGAAGGCGGUCUGCUGGGCAGUUGCUGACACUGAGGCGCGACAGCGUGGGGAGCAAACAGG